rnacentral:rRNA from 1 species
AAGGAAUAUUGGUCAAUGGACGCAAGUCUGAACCAGCCAUGCCGCGUGAAGGAUGAAGGUCCUCUGGAUUGUAAACUUCUUUUAUCUGGGACGAAAACGGGAUUUUUAUCUCAAUUGACGGUACCAGAGGAAUAAGCACCGGCUAACUCCGUGCCAGCAGCCGCGGUAAUACGGAGGGUGCGAGCGUUAUCCGGAUUUACUGGGUUUAAAGGGUGCGUAGGUGGGCUUAUAAGUCAGUGGUGAAAUCUCCGAGCUUAACUUGGAAACUGCCGUUGAUACUAUAGGUCUUGAAUUAUCUGGAGGUAAGCGGAAUAUGUCAUGUAGCGGUGAAGUGCUUAGAUAUGACAUAGAACACCAAUUGCGAAGGCAGCUUACUACAUAUAAAUUGACGCUGAGGCACGAAAGCGUGGGGAUCAAACA